AGAGUUUGAUCCUGGCUCAGGACGAACGCUGGCGGCGCGCCUAACACAUGCAAGUCGAACGAGAGAGAAGGAGCUUGCUUCUUCGAUCGAGUGGCGAACGGGUGAGUAACGCGUGAGGAACCUGCCUCAAAGAGGGGGACAACAGUUGGAAACGACUGCUAAUACCGCAUAAGCCCACGGCUCGGCAUCGAGCAGAGGGAAAAGGAGCAAUCCGCUUUGAGAUGGCCUCGCGUCCGAUUAGCUAGUUGGUGAGGUAAUGGCCCACCAAGGCGACGAUCGGUAGCCGGACUGAGAGGUUGAACGGCCACAUUGGGACUGAGACACGGCCCAGACUCCUACGGGAGGCAGCAGUGGGGAAUAUUGCACAAUGGGGGAAACCCUGAUGCAGCGACGCCGCGUGGAGGAAGAAGGUCUUCGGAUUGUAAACUCCUGUUGUUGAGGAAGAUAAUGACGGUACUCAACAAGGAAGUGACGGCUAACUACGUGCCAGCAGCCGCGGUAAAACGUAGGUCACAAGCGUUGUCCGGAAUUACUGGGUGUAAAGGGAGCGCAGGCGGGAAGACAAGUUGGAAGUGAAAUCUAUGGGCUCAACCCAUAAACUGCUUUCAAAACUGUUUUUCUUGAGUAGUGCAGAGGUAGGCGGAAUUCCCGGUGUAGCGGUGGAAUGCGUAGAUAUCGGGAGGAACACCAGUGGCGAAGGCGGCCUACUGGGCACCAACUGACGCUGAGGCUCGAAAGUGUGGGUAGCAAACAGGAUUAGAUACCCUGGUAGUCCACACCGUAAACGAUGAUUACUAGGUGUUGGAGGAUUGACCCCUUCAGUGCCGCAGUUAACACAAUAAGUAAUCCACCUGGGGAGUACGACCGCAAGGUUGAAACUCAAAGGAAUUGACGGGGGCCCGCACAAGCAGUGGAGUAU
rnacentral:rRNA from 1 species